rnacentral:lncRNA from 1 species
CAUGGUUUUGCCUGGGAUGAGUCCUGCCUCUGUCACUUCCUACUAACUGUGCAGGUGCAGAACCCACCUAUUCAAACGGUCUAGAGACAGAGUGUGGGGCUGCGGCCCAGCCCUUGUUGAAAAUUUACAUCACUUGCAAAGCUCCAUUGUGAAAUACCGAAACAUCGAUGUGGAAGAAAGGAAGACAAAGCCCAGACUCUGAAUCAACUGAUGUGUGACUCCUUCAAUGGACGGAGGCCAGAAGGCAAGAAGACUCUGGAUAAGCAUGGGGAACACUGGCUCCUGGUCAGAGCCGCCCUGGGCAGAGGGCACAUCCAGUUGAUGAGGAUACCGCAGGGGGGCUGGGAGCCCAUGGGGCAGCAGCCGUGAGGGGCACGGACGCCUAGAAAGGUCGAUGGCUGCAGUGACCUAGCUGGUCCCCAGGGCACUGAGAUUCAUCUGAACAGCAGGUCCCAGUCAGUUGCUGACCAGGGGCCCGAAUCCUGGGCAUCCGCUCUGGGCACACCUCCUUGGCAUAUGUGGGGCAUCUUAUUUACCCAAAGCAGGUGUGUUCAUUUAGGACCACCUGCAUGUUCACAGGAGCACUCCCUGCAGGUGGCCUUUGGUAUUUCACCUGGAUAUCCGUCUGCUUGAGCUGCUGUAACCAAAUACCACAGACAGGCUGGGUGGCUUCAGCAACCGAGAUCUAUUUCUCACCAUUCUGGAGGCUGGAAGUCUGAGGUUGAGAUGCCGGUGGCUUCUGUUUCUGAUGAGGGCCCAUUUCCCGGCCUGCAGACGGCCACCUUCUCACUGUGUCCUCACAUGACAGAGAGGGACAGCCUGAGUCUCUCUUCCUCUUCUUAGAAGGACACUAGUCCCCUCGUGGGGGCCCCACCCUCAUGACUGCCCCUAAACCUAAUCACCCCCCAAAGGCCCCAUCUCCAAACAUCAUCACACUGGGGAUCAGGGCUUCCACAUGAACCCUGGGAGGCAGAGGCGGGCUCUGUGUUUUAGCCAGCCCCUGGGGGGCAGAAGAGGAGACCCUGACAGUGUGGACUCCCUGGGGUGGGAAGGAGUGGGCUGAGGACGGUGAAUGUAGACGGACUUCUGGGAAGUCUCUAAGAGAAAAGAAAGUGAGAGAUUGAUGGGGGUGGGCGCCGUGGGAUCAGGGGAAGGGUUUUGGGGUUUUGGUCUCAUAUUUGUUUUGAGGCAGGGAUGUGCGAGCUAGGCCUGGGGAGA